UGGGGAAUCUUGCGCAAUGGGCGAAAGCCUGACGCAGCGACGCCGCGUGAGGGAUGAAGGCCCUCGGGUUGUAAACCUCUUUCGGCAGGGACGAAGCGAAAGUGACGGUACCUGCAGAAGAAGCCCCGGCUAACUACGUGCCAGCAGCCGCGGUAAGACGUAGGGGGCGAGCGUUGUCCGGAUUCAUUGGGCGUAAAGCGCGCGCAGGCGGCCCGAUAAGUCGGAUGUGAAAUCCCACGGCUCAACCGUGGAACUGCAUUCGAAACUGUCGGGCUAGAGGCAGGUAGGGGAGAUCGGAAUUCCCGGUGUAGCGGUGAAAUGCGCAGAUAUCGGGAGGAACACCGGUGGCGAAGGCGGAUCUCUGGGCCUGUCCUGACGCUCAGGCGCGAAAGCUAGGGGAGCAAACAGGAUUAGAUACCCCCGUAGUCC
rnacentral:rRNA from 1 species